UGUAGGUUAGCUCACUCGGUUAAGGCGCUGCAUUUGUGUCGCAGGGCGCAGGUUCGAUCCCUGGUUGUACCA